GAUGAACGCUGGCGGCGUGCCUAAUACAUGCAAGUCGAGCGAACGGACGAGAAGCUUGCUUUUCUGAUGUUAGCGGCGGACGGGUGAGUAACACGUGGAUAACCUACCUAUAAGACUGGGAUAACUUCGGGAAACCGGAGCUAAUACCGGAUAAUAUUUUGAACCGCAUGGUUCAAAAGUGAAAGACGGUCUUGCUGUCACUUAUAGAUGGAUCCGCGCUGCAUUAGCUAGUUGGUAAGGUAACGGCUUACCAAGGCAACGAUGCAUAGCCGACCUGAGAGGGUGAUCGGCCACACUGGAACUGAGACACGGUCCAGACUCCUACGGGAGGCAGCAGUAGGGAAUCUUCCGCAAUGGGCGAAAGCCUGACGGAGCAACGCCGCGUGAGUGAUGAAGGUCUUCGGAUCGUAAAACUCUGUUAUUAGGGAAGAACAUAUGUGUAAGUAACUGUGCACAUCUUGACGGUACCUAAUCAGAAAGCCACGGCUAACUACGUGCCAGCAGCCGCGGUAAUACGUAGGUGGCAAGCGUUAUCCGGAAUUAUUGGGCGUAAAGCGCGCGUAGGCGGUUUUUUAAGUCUGAUGUGAAAGCCCACGGCUCAACCGUGGAGGGUCAUUGGAAACUGGAAAACUUGAGUGCAGAAGAGGAAAGUGGAAUUCCAUGUGUAGCGGUGAAAUGCGCAGAGAUAUGGAGGAACACCAGUGGCGAAGGCGACUUUCUGGUCUGUAACUGACGCUGAUGUGCGAAAGCGUGGGGAUCAAACAGGAUUAGAUACCCUGGUAGUCCACGCCGUAAACGAUGAGUGCUAAGUGCUAGGGGGUUUCCGCCCCUUAGUGCUGCAGCUAACGCAUUAAGCACUCCGCCUGGGGAGUACGACCGCAAGGUUGAAACUCAAAGGAAUUGACGGGGACCCGCACAAGCGGUGGAGCAUGUGGUUUAAUUCGAAGCAACGCGAAGAACCUUACCAAAUCUUGACAUCCUUUGACAACUCUAGAGAUAGAGCCUUCCCCUUCGGGGGACAAAGUGACAGGUGGUGCAUGGUUGUCGUCAGCUCGUGUCGUGAGAUGUUGGGUUAAGUCCCGCAACGAGCGCAACCCUUAAGCUUAGUUGCCAUCAUUAAGUUGGGCACUCUAAGUUGACUGCCGGUGACAAACCGGAGGAAGGUGGGGAUGACGUCAAAUCAUCAUGCCCCUUAUGAUUUGGGCUACACACGUGCUACAAUGGACAAUACAAAGGGCAGCGAAACCGCGAGGUCAAGCAAAUCCCAUAAAGUUGUUCUCAGUUCGGAUUGUAGUCUGCAACUCGACUACAUGAAGCUGGAAUCGCUAGUAAUCGUAGAUCAGCAUGCUACGGUGAAUACGUUCCCGGGUCU
rnacentral:rRNA from 1 species